rnacentral:misc_RNA from 1 species
GGCAAAAACCAAGAGUGAAACUUAUACAAGGUGACAAAUUUAUCAAGUCUAUCAUAGCCUGUCUAUCCAUGAAAAGUUGACUAGCAGACCAAAAUUGCCCGACAAAAGCCAAGAGUCUUUGAAUGUAAAGAAAUGUAAUUUUCUUCCUCAAAACUCUCCCAUGUUGGCAAAUUCUAAGAGGGAAGGAAAGAUCUUUGGUAUCUUACUGCCUAGGGUCAUCAAAACUAAGGGAGCAACAUGAGCGCAUUCAAUUAAAACACAGAAAGGAAUAUACAUUAAAACCAAGAACAAGAUGUGCA